rnacentral:rRNA from 1 species
CCUACGGGAGGCUGCAGUGGGGAAUAUUGCACAAUGGGCGCAAGCCUGAUGCAGCCAUGCCGCGUGUGUGAAGAAGGCCUUCGGGUUGUAAAGCACUUUCAGCGGGGAGGAAGGCGUUAAGGUUAAUAACCUUGGCGAUUGACGUUACCCGCAGAAGAAGCACCGGCUAACUCCGUGCCAGCAGCCGCGGUAAUACGUAGGGUACAAGCGUUAAUCGGAAUUACUGGGCGUAAAGCGCACGCAGGCGGUCUGUCAAGUCGGAUGUGAAAUCCCCGGGCUCAACCUGGGAACUGCAUUCGAAACUGGCAGGCUAGAGUCUUGUAGAGGGGGGUAGAAUUCCAUGUGUAGCGGUGAAAUGCGUAGAGAUCGGGAGGAAUACCGGUGGCGAAGGCGGCCACCUGGACAAAGACUGACGCUCAGGUGCGAAAGCGUGGGGAGCAAACAGGAUUAGAUACCCUGGUAGUC